rnacentral:misc_RNA from 1 species
AAAAAAACCGAAUUGUCUCGCUGCCGGUUCGCCAUCGAGAUGGCGUUUCCGGUUGCGAGGUUUGGGUUAACCCCCCACAUUUUGUGCACUGUACAGUCUUUGGUGGUUGGGGUGAAAUUGUUCCCUUUCCGGGACUUUUCCACCCUGUCAGCCUUGGUCGGUUUCAGCGACCAGGGCCGUGGACAUGCCACCACAUGUUUUGUUGAUAAACAUCUGUGUUUUGUUGUGCCUGACAUUUACAUGUUUGUUGAAAACACAUUCAAA